UCCUGGCCCGACGGUGACGGAGGGCUUUGAUGAGGCCCGGCGGCCGCGUGCUUGCCAGGAAGGCCCGGGGCUUGAGGCCCUGGAAGGCCUGGCCCGUUCAGGAGUCCCGGCUGUUUGGGGGAAUGUCCCACGCCCUGUGGGGAUUUGAGCCGUGUCUCCCGGCCGACUUGGGUGUCCCGGUUGGUGUGUGGUCGGGCCUGGGGGCUUGGUGCGGGCGGGAACCGCGGGUAGCGACCACGUCUCGUCAGGGGGUUCGUGCCUGCUGCUGGGCACGGGAACGGCUCCGGGGGGGUCUUACGGGCGCUGAGGGGAUUCCGCAUCAUGGAGAGGUCAAGGGGAGUUGGUGGCCGUCACCCUUCGUCAGGGCAGGGUAGCAUCAGUGCUCCCGUGCUGGGGUUCCUGGAGAGCCGGCUGGCACGGACAGACUCUUGUGAGGGCAAGUGGCUGAUCGUGCGUCGGAUGGGUCCAGCAAAGGAGAGAAAGCUUCGGGUGCGCGCGCUCGCCAGGGAAAGGGUGACAGCGGGUGGGACCGAGAGGGAGAGAGAGAGAGAGAGAAAAAGGAAGAGAGAGGGUUUCCGCAGGGGCGGUGAGUCCUGGCGGAAGUCCUGAGGCAGAGGAGGUGCCAGGGGUUUGGGUUUCCCGGUCGUGUCGGGGGUGUGGCGCAGGUUGCCCCAGUGGGCCUGAAUGUGCCUCCGUGGGGCACCUUGUUGCCGUGUUGGGGGGCGGGGAGCCGGCCUUGGGGAUCCAUCUUUCGGGCCCUGGGACGUGGGAGAAGAAUGCCGGGCCUCUCUCUGUGCCCCUGGCGCCUCUGUGCAGGCCGGGCCUGCACCACCCCCCCGCGCCCGUCCCCAGGCAGGGUCCGUGUGGCUGCAGACACCCAGAGAGAGGGGAGGCUGGGGAGGCUGGGGAGCCGUGGCAGCCCGAUGCAGUGCGGGUCUCCAGGUGGAGGGGCCCUGGUCCCCUGGCGCCAGCGUGGCCCUUCCUCCUUGUGGAAACCCUUGUGGUGUGUGUGCUCUCUCGCCCUGACCCAGGAGAGCAGCAUGGCGGACCCCUGAUCUUGUGGCGUGCCACCGCGCGAGGCCGAGGAGCUCCCGCAGCCCAGUGGGCGUGGCGUCCUUGUCGCGGCUCUGUGGAGACCUGGCGAUGGAGAGCAGCAUGGCGGACCCCUGAUCUUGUGGCGUGCCACCGAGCGAGGCCGAGGAGCUCCCGCAGAACCAGUGGGCGUGGCGUCCUUGUCGCGGCUCUGUGGAGACCUGGCGAUGGAGAGCAGCAUGGCGGACCCCUGAUCUUGUGGCGUGCCACCGCGCGAGGCCGAGGAGCUCCCGCAGACCAGUGGGCGUGGCGUCCUUGUCGCGGCUCUGUGGAGACCUGGCGAUGGUGAGCGGCCCCUGUCCUCAGUGGUGGAGAACUCGCCCUUGGGGCGCUCGUCUGUCCGGAGCCCCGGGCCAGCCCCGCUUCUCGCGGGCUUUGGCCCCGGCAGGCCAGCUCCGGGGGCGUGAGGGGGAGCGUCCCGUCCUGCCCAGUGGCUCGUCUGUCUGGGCACGCCCCCAAACGCUGCCGUGAUGGAGCGGGUGGGAUGUCCAGGUGCGGAGGCCGUGAAUUUGCCUUGCGGCGGCGGAGCCCGUGCUCGGAUCGAUGAUGACUCCCUCUAAAGCAUUCCUUGGAAAUCUGAACAAAAUGAGUGAGAACUCACUACCGUCUCCUCAUCGAAACUGAGGUCCGGCACGUGGCGGCCACCGGGGGCUCGGGGGUAGAUGGGCCCUUGGCCUUGGGGCCUCUGGGUGUCAGCAGCCACUCGGGUGAGGUCUGGGGAAGGCGGCCGCCUGCCGGGCCCAGGAAGCAUGGGGCCCGUCGCCCGGCGCUGGCCUCGGGGGCGAGGCCGCGUGCCCGAGCGUGCUGGAGAUCCCGGGCGGCCUCCCGCCGGCCUUGGGGGGUUUCGCAAGCCGUCGCGGGGGCCGAAAUUUGGGCCCGGCCCGCGAGGCAAGUGUGCGGCCCUAGGGCCCCAGGGGGCGUCCUGGCCCAGGCCGGGCGCCCUUCUCAGGAUGCUGUGGGGAGACGGGAUCCCGGCAGGGUAGUGUUCUCUUUCUGCUCUGGGGACCCCUGAGGGCCACCUGCUGCAGGGGGUCUGUGGUAGCGGGGGCCCUUGGAUCAGGGCCGUCCCCCAUGGGAGGGGGGCAGCCUGGGAACCCCUGAGGGCG
rnacentral:lncRNA from 1 species